CUUGGUCAUUUAGAGGAAGUAAAAGUCGUAACAAGGUUUCCGUAGGUGAACCUGCGGAAGGAUCAUUAGUGAAUUCUCCAAAGUCGGCUCGUCGGAUUGUGCUGGUGGAGACACAUGUGCACGUCUUGCGGGUCGCAAACCCAACACACCUUGUGCAUCUUAUGACUCCGAGUGCCGCUUUGCAUGGCCCUUUAUUGGGCCUGGUGCUCGAGUACUUUCACACACUCUUGAAUGUAACGGAAUGUCAUGUCGUGCAUAUAAUGUACAAAACAGAAACAACUUUCAACAACGGAUCUCUUGGCUCUCGCAUCGAUGAAGAACGCAGCGAAAUGCGAUAAGUAAUGUGAAUUGCAGAAUUCAGUGAAUCAUCGAAUCUUUGAACGCACCUUGCACCCUUUGGUAUUCCGAAGGGUACACCCGUUUGAGUGUCAUUGUAAUCUCACUACGAUCGACUUUUUGUCUUUCGGUAUGUGGACUUGGAUGUUGCCGUGAAUAAACAAACGGCUCUUCUGAAAUGCCUGAGUGUACCCCGCUUUGCGGCGUAUUCGGUGUGAUAAAUCUUCACCGGAGUUGACCCCUUUAUUGGGGUCGCGUCUGUAAUGGUGUGGCUCUAUGCUUCGAACCGUCUCUUAUGGAGACAAACCUCUGACAAUUUGACCUCAAAUCGGGUGGGACUACCCGCUGAACUUAAGCAUAUCAAUAAGCGGAGGA
rnacentral:rRNA from 1 species